rnacentral:rRNA from 1 species
CCUACGGGUGGCAGCAGUGGGGGAUAUUGCACAAUGGGGGAAACCCUGAUGCAGCGACGCCGCGUGGGUGAAGAAGUAUUUCGGUAUGUAACGCCCUAUCAGCAUGGAAGAAAGAAGACGGUACCUGACUAAGAAGCCCCGGCUAACUACGUGCCAGCAGCCGCGGUAAUACGUAGGGGGCGAGCGUUAUCCGGAUUCACUGGGUGUAAAGGGAGCGUAGACGGCCGUGCAAGCCAGGAGUGAAAGCCCGGGGCCCAACCCCGGGACUGCUCUUGGAACUGUGCGGCUGGAGUGCGGGAGGGGCAGGCGGAAUUCCUGGUGUAGCGGUGAAAUGCGUAGAUAUCAGGAGGAACACCGGCGGCGAAGGCGGCCUGCUGGACCGCGACUGACGUUGAGGCUCGAAAGCGUGGGGAGCGAACAGGAUUAGAUACCCUAGUAGUC